rnacentral:tRNA from 1 species
GGGUGGUUAGCUCAGCUGGGAGAGCAUCGGCCUUACAAGCCGAGGGUCAGUGGUUCGAUCCCACUACCACCCA